rnacentral:rRNA from 1 species
UACGGAGGGUGCAAACGUUGCUCGGAAUCAUUGGGCGUAAAGCGCACGUAGGCGCCCUGACAAGUCGGGUGUGAAAUCCCUCGGCUUAACCGAUGAAGUGCAUUCGAAACUAUCAGGCUUGAAUACUGAAGAGGGUCUCGGAAUUCCCGGUGUAGAGGUGAAAUUCGUAGAUAUCGGGAGGAACACCGGUGGCGAAGGCGGCAUCCUGGACCGGCAUUGACGCUGAGGCGCGAAAGCCAGGGGAGCAAACGGG